CCUGGGGUUACCUGGUGCCGCAUCGGAUCCUGCUGCAUUCCCAUCAUCCGCUGCUGAAAAGGAUCCAUAUUUGGGAGCUGAGGAAAUACUGGCUGCUGCAUGCCUUCUCCUGGAAAACCACUAAAACCAGAAAUGUUUUGAACAAUGCAGCUUCCAGGAACAAGCUGGAAAUUGGCCCUUCCAUCUUCAGCCCAGCAUUCAAACAAAAAUGUCUCAGUAGUUGUGCUGCUUCAGCUGGAAGAUGCAAGCAGGUGGAAGGCAGAACACACGUUGCAUUGCUGUCCUUUCUGCAGACUUAGUCAUUCACUUGCACACAUAUAAGCUGUCCUUGUUCUUCCUUAAGGGACGGAGAAGGAUCUGCUGCUAAGCUGUCUCUCAGAGGAUCAAUGCAAGUUUUAAAAGCUUGACCAGCAGCUGUGAAGCACAGCAAGUAUUAGGUGCUGCUGAAGGAAUCUCUACCAGAAUGUCACAGCUUCCAAUAUACCUGGAAACAAGUUCAGGGCAGAGGCAAGAGACUCGAGCCAGAUGCUGUGUCCUUCUCCUUUUCUGUGGACAUAGAGACUCACUGGGGAUCCUGAGCUCCAGUAACUGCUGAAGAACUACUGGGAAGGAUAUCCUGCUAACCUCUAUUUAUAGCUCCUCAGGAUGGAGGGGAAGGUUGCCACAGCACGGGCAAAAUGAAGCCUUGCCAUCGGCAGAAAACAGCCACACGGGAUCUAAACUUCAUCUAAACUUCGGCUGUCCAGUGCCCUAAGGAUGGGCAAACAGCAAAGAAGGAAUGCACAGCUCCAGCUUUAAAUAAACAGCCCCAGGACCUCUUAUUUGUUUGUCUCUAGGCACGUUGAGGUCGGGUAUCAAUUGUUUCAGGGGUACACAUUAACUACUGAGACACAGGACUAAGUGAGUGAUAUGCAUUACUCAACACAAAUGACAGAUUACAAAACAGGAAAGUUGACCUUAUUUUACUUUCAGCAGCAAGACUGUGGAAAAAAAAUUAAAAAAAUCUUUAUUUCUAACUAUUAUAACCAGUAAACUAUGCCUCAAGUUUUCCAGAUUAAAGAAAAGGACAGACAUCCCCUAAAUUAAAAACCUCAAGGAUUUAUAUUGCAGAUGUGUGGGUUCAGUGGGAGGUUUUUGUUUGCUUGAGUUUUGGGAGUGUGAUUUUUAAUUUUUUUUCUUUUUAAAGAAAAAUGUUUGUUUGUUUUCUUAAAACCAUAAAAAGUUGUGUCCCAUUAUCCAGUUACCCUUUGUGAUUUAUUUAUCCAGUACCAUUACUGUAACAUAACACAUACACCUAACAGCAUUUCUAACUCGUGAAAGUAAACUCCUCAGAGAAAACACACUCCACUACAGACCUGUCAAAUCCCACCUACUCAGCUGACAGCACCUGCUCAAACUACAGCUGGAUUAGAAAAAAGCAGCCAAUACAAACCCCCUGCUUGCUCCUGCAGAAACGUGAGGACUUGGAAGAGGACAUUUAUUGGCAAAGUUGCAUUCAAAAUACAGGUCCAAAGAACAGGACUGGGAAUGGCACCACAAUUCCAACACAAUGGAAUUAUGCAACCCAGGAGUUCCCACCCCUUGCCAGAGCCAAACUCACUUCUCUCCUUCCCCAGGCCCAAGAGGGGACACCAACCCCACAGUUUAGAGGACAGCAGAUUUACAUCCACGCUUUGAA